CAUAGAGGCGGAUCCAGGAUUUGGAGGUUCCGGGUGCCACACCAUCCAAAUAGGAUAAACGGGUCGGUUUGUUCGAUUUUGGGUUACGGUUCAGAUACAAAGUUGAGAAAGAAUCAAGAAUUGUAGCUUUAA